GCAGUCGAACAUGUAGCUGACUCAGGUCACAGGGUGCGAUCAUGGCUCAGGAUGAACGCUGGCGGUAUGCUUAACACAUGCAAGUCGAACGGGAAGCUUUCGAGCUUCUAGUGGCGGACGGGUGAGUAACGCGUGAGAAUCUGCCUUUUGGACCGGGAUAACUACUGGAAACGGUAGCUAAGACCGGAUGUGCCCUUGGGUGAAAUAUUUAUAGCCAAAAGAGGAGCUCGCGACCGAUUAGCUAGUUGGUGGGGUAAGAGCCUACCAAGGCUGCGAUCGGUAGCCGGUUUGAGAGGACGACCGGCCACACUGGGACUGAGACACGGCCCAGACUCCUACGGGAGGCAGCAGUGGGGAAUUUUCCGCAAUGGGCGAAAGCCUGACGGAGCAAUACCGCGUGAGGGAGGAAGGCUCUUGGGUUGUAAACCUCUUUUCUCAGGGAAGAAAAAAAUGACGGUACCUGAGGAAUCAGCAUCGGCUAACUACGUGCCAGCAGCCGCGGUAAUACGGAGGAUGCAAGCGUUAUCCGGAAUGAUUGGGCGUAAAGCGUCCGCAGGUGGCACUUCAAGUCUGCUGUCAAAGCACAGAGCUUAACUCUGGACCGGCAGUGGAAACUGGAGAGCUAGAGAGCAAUAGGGGUAGAGGGAAUUCCCGGUGUAGCGGUGAAAUGCGUAGAGAUCGGGAAGAACACCAGUGGCGAAAGCGCUCUACUAGGUUGCAUCUGACACUGAGGGACGAAAGCUAGGGGAGCGAAUGGGAUUAGAUACCCCAGUAGUCCUAGCCGUAAACGAUGGAUACUAGGCGUUGAGAGUAUCGACCCUCUCAGUGCCGGAGCCAACGCGUUAAGUAUCCCGCCUGGGGAGUACGCACGCAAGUGUGAAACUCAAAGGAAUUGACGGGGGCCCGCACAAGCGGUGGAGUAUGUGGUUUAAUUCGAUGCAACGCGAAGAACCUUACCAGGGCUUGACAUGUCUGGAAUCUUGGGGAAACUCGAGAGUGCCGAAAGGAGCCAGAACACAGGUGGUGCAUGGCUGUCGUCAGCUCGUGUCGUGAGAUGUUGGGUUAAGUCCCGCAACGAGCGCAACCCUCGUCGUUAGUUGCCAUCAUUUGUUGGGCACUUAGCGAGACUGCCGGUGACAAACCGGAGGAAGGUGGGGAUGACGUCAAGUCAGCAUGCCCCUUACGUCCUGGGCGACACACGUACUACAAUGCUGUGGACAAAGGAGCAGCAACCGCGAUCGGGCAGCCAAGCCCGCAAACCGACGCUCAGUUCAGAUUGCAGGCUGCAACUCGCCUGCAUGAAGGCGGAAUCGCUAGUAAUCGCGGAUCAGCAUCCGGCGGUGAAUACGUUCCCGGGCCUUGUACACACCGCCCGUCACACCAUGGAGUUGGUUACGCCCGAAGUAUUGCUCUAACCCGCAAGGAGGCAGGCUAGCCGACGGUAGGGUCAGCUGACUGGGGUGAAGUCGUAACAAGGUAACUCUACGAUGUGAUGCUUGCACAAGUGAUCCA
rnacentral:rRNA from 1 species